rnacentral:misc_RNA from 1 species
UCCCCGUUCACCGGGGCAGUCCCCUCAGAGUGCCCGGCAUGACCCGAUGGCAACAAAGGGCAAGGGUUGCGCUCGUUGCGGGACUUAACCCAACAUCUCACGACACGAGCUGACGACAGCCAUGCAGCACCUGUGCACUAGCCCCGAGGGGAAGACAGCUUUCACUGCCGGUCCAGUGCAUGUCAAGCCUAGGUAAGGUUCUUCGCGUCGCGUCGAAUUAAACCACAUGCUCCGCUGCUUGUGCGGGUCCCCGUCAAUUCCUUUGAGUUUUAACCUUGCGGCCGUACUCCCCAGGCGGUCAACUUCACGCGUUAGCUUCGUUACCAAGGAAUUGCUUCCCCGACAACCAGUUGACAUAGUUUAGGGCGUGGACUAC